ensembl:lncRNA
GAUAAGUCUUCUCUUUUCAGCAGGAACGAUUCGCUUUACAACCUGUGUUUUCACACAAUUGUAUUUGAAAUAUUGCUAAAUGCCUGUUUUGUCUGCAUGCUGUUUUUUCACUGGCAGAUUUGGUGCGAGUUCCCGACUGUAGGCUAUUCCUUGUUUUUGGGCUACAAUCCACAGCUAGACUAUUUUAAAGAAAAGCUAUUGAUCCUCCGUGGCUAAAUUAUAGGUCUUCUCAUGGUGUAGUAGGCUAUUCUGAAUGAUUUCAUUUAUUUCUGAUUAGACAGCAGUAAUUCUAUAACUUUGUCAAAUGUAUUUAAAUUCAUCAGGGGUGCUGCAGUUCCUUCAGAACCCUUCGCGCGGCUAUUGCUAUUAGGAAAGAAAUGACAAAGUGCAACGCUGGAGAGAUGAGAGUUGUAGGCUCAUGUCUAUCAGAGCAGAGAGGGAGAUAGAUCAUAGAAAGUGAAUCUCAUUAUAGUUAUGUGAGAGAUACUGGCUCGCGAGAGAUACUGGCUUCCACUCAGACGACACUGUACCUGACAGCAGCAGACUAGUGACCAGAGGUGAUGUAAUACUCACAGUGGACUGUCUCUUCCAUGAGAGCCAGGGACUAUUGGAGUGUCAUCGCAAUGAAGCAGCAGUCAAAGAGAUUUUGAAGAAGCCCAGUAUACAUCUUAAGAUGGUGUGUUCCUGGAUCCUUGGUUGCAUCAGGGCAGUCAGGUGUUGCCGGUGGUGGCUGGUUCGCUCCAGGAGUCUGAGGUGCGGGAGGUUCCUCCGCCCCCCUCUGGACAUCGAGGGGGCCCCGGCGUACGCCGUUUGCUCCAUUCUGUUCCCCCCCAUGUCUGUGUGUGGAAUUGUUUGUUGUAAGUGUAUUGUACAUUUCAGACUAGUGUGCGACGGGUUAUUUCUACCCGUAUUUUGCUGUUCUGGGUGCAGUUUGGGUUUUUGCAUCAUUAAACUGCUCCGGUUGUUACCAAUUUCUGCUCUCCUGACUUCGCCUGACUUCCCUGCAGCCAGUUACGCACCGCUUACAAGGACUAACUUAUUCCUUACCACCCACUCUGAAACUAACUGCAACUCUUUGUUAGGUGUGGCAGUCAUUUCAGUCGCUGUAGUAGCUGACAUGUAUAGAGUUGAGUCAUCCGCAUACAUAGAAACUCUGGCUUUACUCAAAGCCAGUGGCAUGUCAUUAGUAAAAAUUGAAAAACGUAAUGGGCCUAGACAGCUGCCAUGGGGAAAUCCUGAUUUUACCUGGACUAUGGUGGAAAGGCUUCCAUUAAAGAACACCCUCUGUGUUCUGUUAGACAGGUAACUCUAUCAUAAAUAUCGCUGGGGGUGUAAAUCCAUCACACAUACGUUUUUUGCAUUACUCUCUUUGCAUUCUUCACGGUACUACUGGACUCUGACAUUGCUUUUCAAAGUCUGAUUAAGGAAAUCUUUCAGUUGUACAUGUCUACCUCAGUAACCUCAUUGCUGCUAUCCCUGCAAUUCAGUUGCAUGCAUCCUUUCACUUUCAAUUUGCCUUCUUUGCACAUUAAGACUUGUCAUUUGUACUUUCAAUUUGCCUUCAUUGUACAUUAAGACUUGUCAUUUGUACUUGCCAUUUGCCUUCAUUGCACAUUUAUACAUCCCACUUAAUAACAUACAUUGUAUUUAAUUGUUUCACUUGUACAUUUUUUGCACUCUUUUAUUUGCACUUCUGGUCAGAUGCAAACUGCAUUUCGUUGUAGUGUACUUGAUCCAAGUUUAAUCUAAUCUAAUGAUCAAUAAUGUCAAAAGCCGCACUGAAGUCUAACAAAACAAAUUAACAAUACUGGAUGCGAUUUCUGUCUGAAUAAUACUCAUAGCGUUAGUGACAAGUUAUCCCUUUUUCUUUUCUUUUUACUUUUACAACGAUUGUUAUAGAUGCUUUUUAGGUUGUUUUGGAGGCUAAUGGUUCACUAUGGCAUACCAAUCUUUAACUAAAUGCCAGUUGAAAAAACAGGUCAUGCUGUAGUUUUAAAAGCCUGCUAUAGUGUCUCUUGAAUAUGAAAGUGAAGCUGUUUUGAAUAUGAAAGUGAAGCUGUUUCUGAUAAAACCAUCUCUCCUCCUCUUUUCCCUCAAGCUGUGAACUUUUCACUUUCCUCUGGGCAUCAAAGAAGGUAGUCAGAUAGUCUUUCAAUAGUCAUCAUCCAAAGAAAUUCACACACCAUUAUGGUUCAGUAAGUCAAUUUUCCUCUUUACAUUUAGCACUAACUGACAGAUGAUACAGUUAAAGGCAGAUCUGAUCUGUGUAUCGUUUGUUCAAUUGAUAUUUGUACUUAAACAACGAAGACUGAUCUUUUUUUCACUAAUUGGUCUUUUGAACAAUAAGAUCAGCUCUUUUUUAAAUUAUUUGUCAAAACUUCAGAAUUGGUCUGCCUGUGUAAAUGAAGUCAUUAUGUCUCAGAUUAGUUGUUCUUAGGAGUGCACCUGUCUGAAAACUCAAGGAAGGAUGAACAAUGAGCAAUGCAUGAGUUAUCGUAACACCACUAUGAUAUAUGAAUAAGUAAAAUUGAUGUGGUGUGUAUAGGCUAUUGGUGCAUAUUGGAAAAUAUAAUGAGGUUUAUGAUACUAAUUAUAUGGGUGUAAAAUAGAUGUGAGCAAUCCACUUUCACUUUAUGUUUUCUGUAGAUCAUAUGGUCCAAUAAAUGCAAGAGGGGAUGUGGGUGUGAGACUGCACAGCUUAUCUCAGAGGGGUCUGUCAUAGUCAGAAUGAAAGUGAAAGAUGACUUGAAAUACUUAUAUUGUCUGCACACUGGUUGUUAUGUUAUACAGUAAGAUAUGUAUUUUAUUGUCUGUUACAUGAUGCAUAUUUUUUCCCUGUUUACUCCACUUACAUGUCCAGAAUGGAACGCAGAGGUAAUUAUUUUAACAGGACACAGACCUACCACUUAUUUAAAUAAUGUUUAAGGUCAGAUCUUAGGUUAGGCUUAUAGCUGUCUGGGCAGUGAUCUAAACCAAAACAUUGCUACUUUUAGUUUUAGAGUCUGUACUUGACUUUUCUUUUUUUGUCCAUUAUUAAACAGAGGUGCCAAGGUUGAUGAGGUACUACACCAUCACCAUUGGCAAGACUAUGAGUUCUCAUAAUCAGUUUAUGAGACAACUUGGAGGAGGCUUCACUGAAGUGUUGUCACCAGCGCAGAGUGAUAUCAUCAUGGCUUUCUGUCCCAUCGUCUCUCGUGCUGGUACUGAUAUUGAGGCAGCACUGCAGCAGAUUCCAGAGGGCAAAGAUGUCAUUCUGGUAGUCCUGCAUCACUAUUUUAACCCAGAGUACACUGUACCUGACAGCAGCAGACUAGUGACCAGAAGUGAUGUAAUACUCACAGUGGACUGUCUGUUCCAUGAGAGUAAGGGAGGACUACUGAACUGUCCUCGCAACAAAGCAGCAGUUGGUAAAAUUCGGAACCGGCUGAACAUGAAGCCAAAGGUGAUAGAUGCCAUCGUGGACAUCCCUGAUCACAGAAACAGGCCAGUAUGUAUAUUUUCAUUUUAGGAGUUGCCACUUAACUCAACAGUUUUAUACCACUGUAUGAUGUCAUAUUUUAGUCUGAUGCAUCAUUUUAUUUUAUUUUACGUAGUUUAAAGAGAUCCAUUUUUUUUGUAAUUUGUAAGCUCUCUGUCGCAGCACAUUUAUUGGAGGUAAGUACUAGCUAUAAAUCAUACAUUAAUAUGAUAUAUACAUUAUGUAUAAUAUUUACAUUCCCUUGUCAUUUAAGAAAACUGCUAUUGGGGGAUCAGUGUUGAUGCCUGUAAGAAAAACAGACUGUUAACAGAUGGAAGCAGUGUUUGACCACAUCCACCACUUUCUCAUUUCAAGUGCCUUUACAAGCAGGGUCUAUCUUUAUUUUCAUGAUUUCUUCUUUUGUAUUGUUGGUCAAAGUCCUAUUCAGAGGUCUACGUGUUGCUAGUAAUGUAGUAAAUAUACAGUACAACCUCAUACUAUUCUGAAGGUUUUGAAGCCAAUGUGUCUUUUUCCAAUUGUUUUCAUUUCCAGAUGGUGUGUUCCAGUGUCCUUGAUUGCAUCAGGGCAGACAGGCGUUGUUGCCAGAGAUCACCAUUUGCAUGUGUUGGGCUCAUUAUGUUUCUUCUUCUUUUGUGUUUGGUGGUAUUUUUGAUUGUUUCUUUCUGGAAACAAUGAGGUUUAUCAUAAUAACCUAAUGGAAAUAGAGCAAGUAGGUCUAAACAGCAACAGAGGAAUAAACUGUAGAAAUUACACAGACAACACAGAUAAACUGACUUAAUUAUACAUUAAAAAUAAUGAAUAAAGCCUAAUAAAGCACCUACUCUACCUACCUCUAUCUAUCUAUCAGGAUAGUAUAUUAGUUUAAGAUGGCAUGAUGCUCAUGUAAUAUUGUAGGACUACUCUGAUAGUAUAUUCUGUGUUGCACUUUGUUCUGCUUUGACUGCCCUUCUUUUAAAUAUUAAAGUCAUGACAUUUCAGUUG